rnacentral:tRNA from 3 species
UUAUAGGUAAGCUAAUUAAGCUAUUAGACUCAUACUCUAAAAAUAUAAAUUUUUAAUAUUUAUUCUAUAAU